rnacentral:rRNA from 1 species
UACGGGGGGGGCAAGCGUUGUUCGGAAUUACUGGGCGUAAAGGGCUUGUAGGUGGCCAACUAAGUCGGACGUGAAAUCCCUCGGCUUAACCGGGGAACUGCGUCCGAUACUGGUUGGCUUGAGUGUGGGAGAGGGAUGCGGAAUUCCAGGUGUAGCGGUGAAAUGCGUAGAUAUCUGGAGGAACACCGGUGGCGAAGGCGGCAUCCUGGACCAAUACUGACGCUGAGGAGCGAAAGCCAGGGGAGCAAACGGG